UACUGUUAAGGAUGAUGAUUCAAUUAGAUGUGUGAAAGGAGCAAUCCUUACUGAACUCAACAUAUUUGAGGCAUUUGAUAAAUCUGACUUGAUUUUA
rfam:Cicer arietinum chromosome Ca5, whole genome shotgun sequence.